UACGUAGGCAGCGAGCGUUGUUCGGAAUUACUGGGCGUAAAGAGUGUGUAGGCGGUUCGGUAGGUCCGUUGUGAAAACUCGAGGCUCAACCUCGAGACGCCGAUGGAAACCCCCGAACUAGAGUCCGGAAGAGGAGAAUGGAAUUCCUGGUGUAGCGGUGAAAUGCGCAGAUAUCAGGAAGAACACCCGUGGCUAAGGCGGUUCUCUAGUACGGUACUGACGCUGAGACGCGAAAGCGUGGGGAGCGAACAGG
rnacentral:rRNA from 1 species